rnacentral:rRNA from 1 species
AUCAACUUUCGAUGGUAGGAUAGAGGCCUACCAUGGUGGUAACGGGUAACGGGGUGUUAGGGCACGACACCGGAGAGGGAGCCUGAGAAACGGCUACCACAUCCAAGGAUGGCAGCAGGCGCGCAAAUUACCCAAUCCCGACACGGGGAGGUAGUGACAAUAAAUAACAAUACGGGGUUCUUUCGGAUCUCGUAAUUGGAAUGAGUACAAUUUAAAUCUCUUAACGAGGAACAAUUGGAGGGCAAGUCUGGUGCCAGCAGCCGCGGUAAUUCCAGCUCCAAUAGCGUAUAUUAAAGUUGUUGCAGUUAAAAAGCUCGUAGUUGAAUUUCGGGGUUAGUAGGCUGGUCAUGCCACCGGUAUGUACUGGUCUUACUGAUUCCUCCUUCCUGAUGAACUGUAAUGCCAUUAAUUUGGUGUUGCAGGGAAUCUGGACUGUUACUUUGAAAAAAUUAGAGUGUUUAAAGCAGGCUAACGCUUGAAUACAUUAGCAUGGAAUAGUGAAAUAGGACGUUCGAUCCUACUUUGUUGGUUUCUAGGAUUGACGUAAUGAUUAAUAGGGAUAGUUGGGGGCAUUAGUAUUCAAUUGUCAGAGGUGAAAUUCUUGGAUUUAUUGAAGACUAACUACUGCGAAAGCAUUUGCCAAGGAUGUUUUCAUUAAUCAAGAACGAAAGUUAGGGGAUCGAAGACGAUCAGAUACCGUCGUAGUCUUAACCAUAAACUAUGCCGACUAGGGAUCGGAUGAUGUUAAUUUUUUAAUGACUCAUUCGGCGCCUUACGGGAAACCAAAGUGUUUGGGUUC